AUUGAACGCUGGCGGCAGGCCUAACACAUGCAAGUCGAACGGCAGCACAGAAGAGCCUGCUCUUUGGGUUGCGAGUGGCGGACGGGUGAGUAAUGUCUGGGAAACUGCCCGAUGGAGGGGGAUAACUACUGGAAACGGUAGCUAAUACCGCAUAACGUCGCAAGACCAACGUGGGGGACCUUCGGGCCUCACACCAUCGGAUGUGCCCAGAUGGGAUUAGCUAGUAGGUGGGGUAAUGGCUCACCUAGGCGACGAUCCCUAGCUGGUCUGAGAGGAUGACCAGCCACACUGGAACUGAGACACGGUCCAGACUCCUACGGGAGGCAGCAGUGGGGAAUAUUGCACAAUGGGCGCAAGCCUGAUGCAGCCAUGCCGCGUGUAUGAAGAAGGCCUUCGGGUUGUAAAGUACUUUCAGCGGGGAGGAAGGCGGUGAGGUUAAUAACCUCGCCGAUUGACGUUACCCGCAGAAGAAGCACCGGCUAACUCCGUGCCAGCAGCCGCGGUAA
rnacentral:rRNA from 1 species